rnacentral:rRNA from 1 species
GUGCCAGCAGCCGCGGUAAUACGGGGGGAGCAAGCGUUGUUCGGAUUCAUUGGGCGUAAAGGGCGCGUAGGCGGCCAAGCAAGUCCGGUGUGAAAUGUACGGUUCAACCGGGGCGCUGUGCUGGAAACUGCUUGGCUUGAGGUCGAGGGAGGAGAGUGGAAUUCCUGGUGUAGCGGUGAAAUGCGUAGAUAUCAGGAGGAACACCCGUGGCGAAGGCGGCUCUCUAUCUCGAUUCUGGACGCUGAGGCGCGAAAGCUAGGGGAGCAAACGGGAUUAGAUACCCCGGUAGUCCUAGCCGUAAACGAUGGGCACUAGGUGUGGGAGGUAUCGACCCCUUCCGUGCCGCAGCUAACGCAUUAAGUGCCCCGCCUGGGGAGUACGGCCGCAAGGUUGAAACUUAAAGGAAUUGACGG